rnacentral:lncRNA from 1 species
AGCCACCGCGGCGACUGGGCGGCGGGUGCCAUGCGCCUGGAGCUUCAUAUUCUCAGCUCCCGCCCACCACGCCUGCCCGCGCGCCCUCGCGGUCACGCCCCAGACCGCCGGCACCUGUCAAGCAGGUAUCUUAGUCCUCCUCAUCAUUCAUUAUGUGUAUGGCCAGCAGCGUUGGAGCACCCAGGAGAAAGUGAUAUUCUUCAAAG